rnacentral:rRNA from 1 species
UCAGACGAUGCGUCAUGCAUAUCAAUAAGCGGAGGAAAAGAAACUAACAAGGAUUCCCCUAGUAACGGCGAGUGAAGCGGGAAGAGCUCAAAUUUGAAAUCUUAAAGGGAUUCCCUUUACGAAUUGUAGUUUAAAGAAGUGUUUUCUGUUGAGGUUUUGGUAAAAGUUCUUUGGAAUAGGACAUCAUAGAGGGUGAGAAUCCCGUAUUUGACCUUUACUUUCAACUUUGUGAUACACUUUCAAAGAGUCGGAUUGUUUGGGAAUGCAGUCCAAAAUGGGUGGUAAAUUUCAUCUAAAGCUAAAUAUUGGCGAGAGACCGAUAGCGAACAAGUACCGUGAGGGAAAGAUGAAAAGAACUUUGAAAAGAGAGUUAAACAGUACGUGAAAUUGUCAAAAGGGAAGCGUUUGACACCAGUGUUGUUUUUCUGAAAAUCAAUUAAAGAACUGUUUAUGCUAAGCUGUUUAGACUUUAUCAGCUAUCUGUUUAGUUUUGAGCUUUCCUUUAAUGCACUUUUCAGUUAACAAGUCAACAUCAAUUUCUUUUGCUGUAAAAAAGCUUGAGGAAGGUGGCUUGAGAUUCGUCUUAAGUGUUUAUAGCCUCUUGCCUAUGCAGUCGGAGAGAUUGAGGUCUGCAGCGUAGAUCCUUCGGGGCUAAAUGCAUUUGUGCUAAGUUAUAGCAUUUUAUAGACAACUUGUUGACUAUGAUUUGUCUUGUAGCUUACUCGCUUAUGUUAUUUUACCUACGCUUAGGAUGUUGAAUCUGUGCGAGACUAC